rnacentral:tRNA from 1 species
AGCAGUAUGGCUUAGUGGAAAGAGCGCGGGCUUGGGAGUCAGAGGUCGUGGGUUCGAAUCCCAGCUCUGCCA